AUCGCUUCUCGGCCUUUUGGCUAAGAUCAAGUGUAGUAUUUUAGCUCUAUAGAGAAAUGUCGUUGAUUGUUCCACCACUCUGGUCCACACUGAAAUACUUCAGCAACUGUUGGAUGAUUGUUGUGAAAUUUUGUACAUACAUUCACAGCCCCAGGAGGAUAAACCCAGAUGACUCUGGAGAUCCCCUGACUUUUU